GAGGUUCGGGGAACAUCCCAGAAGAUGAAGAAUUUAAGAGCAAGACUAUUGGAAGGGCCCCUCUCCUGGGCUCCAUAUCCUGGCCCACAAUUCUGGCAGAAGACUCCUGCUCUACAAGAGACCAUGUUGGUACUAGAAGCCCCAGAAGCCGUCUGAGAGGGAGCUCACACCAUGAAUCUAGUCUCUCCAAUAGCUAUCACGGCGUCUGAAAGCAGACCUGAGGUUCAGCACUCUGGAGACCAGUCUUCGAGGC